rnacentral:rRNA from 1 species
UACAGAGGUCUCAAGCGUUGUUCGGAUUCAUUGGGCGUAAAGGGUGCGUAGGUGGCGCUGUAAGUCAGGUGUGAAAUUUCGGAGCUUAACUCCGAAACUGCAUUUGAUACUGCGGUGCUUGAGGACUGGAGAGGAGACUGGAAUUCACGGUGUAGCAGUGAAAUGCGUAGAGAUCGUGAGGAAGACCAGUGGCGAAGGCGGCAUCCUGGCCCUGUACUGACGCUGAGGCGCGAUAGCGUGGGAGCAAACGGG